AAUAAGGAUCUUGCUCUGUUGCCCAGAGCGACAGUGGCUGGAGUGCCGUGGCAUGACCACAGCUCACUGCAGCCUUAACCUCCCUGGCCCAAGCAAUCCUCCCAUCUCAGUCUCUCUAGUAGCUGGGACUACAGGCACAGGCCACUACUCCCAGCUAAUUUUUGUAUUCUUUGUAGAAAUGGGGUUUCACCAUGUUGCCCAGGGUGGUCUCGAACUCCUGGGCUCAAGCAUUCUGCCCAUUUUGGCCUCCCAAAGUGCUAGGAUUACAGGCAUGAACCACCGGGCCUGGCCUCCUAAUUCAUUUUCAAGUAGUUAUUGUUAUUGCAGGCCUGGAAUGACUUUCUGCAUGUUAUGUAUGUGGUAUGACUUUUGGAAGAAUGUACCCUAAAGUUAUCACCUAGUAAUGAUAUAUUUCUCUAAGAGUUCCAUUGAGGGUUCAUUUUCCAGCGAUUCUGUGAUUGGAUGUGGUUUUUUUGUUUGUUCAUUUGUUUGUUUUAGAUGGAGCCUUGCUCUGUCGCCCAGGCUGGAGUGCAAUGGUGCAAUCUUGGCUCACAGCAACCUCUGCCCCCCCGGGUUCAAGCGAUUCUCCUGCCUCAGCCUCCCGAGUAGCUGGGAUUACAGGCAUGCACAACCACACCUGGCUAAUUUUUUUGUAUUUGUUAGUUAGACGGGGCUUCACCAUGUUGGAUCAGGCUGGUCUCAAACUCUUGACCUCAUGAUCCGCCUUCCUUGGCC
rnacentral:lncRNA from 1 species